rnacentral:rRNA from 1 species
AUUGAACGCUGGCGGCAUGCCUUACACAUGCAAGUCGAACGGUAACAGGUCUUCGGAUGCUGACGAGUGGCGAACGGGUGAGUAGUACAUCGGAACGUGCCCGAGAGUGGGGGAUAACGAGGCGAAAGCUUUGCUAAUACCGCAUACGAUCUCAGGAUGGAAGCAGGGGACCGCAAGGCCUUGCCCUCACGGAGCGGCCGAUGGCAGAUUAGGUAGUUGGUGGGAUAAAAGCUUACCAAGCCGACGAUCUGUAGCUGGUCUGAGAGGACGACCAGCCACACUGGGACUGAGACACGGCCCAGACUCCUACGGGAGGCAGCAGUGGGGAAUUUUGGACAAUGGGCGCAAGCCUGAUCCAGCCAUGCCGCGUGCAGGAUGAAGGCCUUCGAGUUGUAAACUGCUUUUGUACGGAACGAAAAGACUCUGGUUAAUACCUGGGGUCCAUGACGGUACCGUAAGAAUAAGCACCGGCUAACUACGUGCCAGCAGCCGCGGUAACAC